CAGUCGCCACGGGAAUACGUAGGGUGCGAGCGUUAAUCGGAAUUACUGGGCGUAAAGCGUGCGCAGGCGGUCGUGUAAGACAGGUGUGAAAUCCCCGGGCUUAACCUGGGAACUGCGCUUGUGACUGCACAGCUAGAGUAUGGCAGAGGGGGGUGGAAUUCCACGUGUAGCAGUGAAAUGCGUAGAGAUGUGGAGGAACACCGAUGGCGAAGGCAGCCCCCUGGGCCAAUACUGACGCUCAUGCACGAAAGCGUGGGGAGCAAACAGGAUUAGAUACCCGGGUAGUCCCUGUCUCUUAUAC
rnacentral:rRNA from 1 species